AAUCAUAAUGGCCGAAAAUCUAAGGUUUCUUGGGGAAGGUUCGUCCGCCCAAGGUUAGUCGGGAGCUAAGCUCAGGCCGAAAGGCGUAGGCGAUGCACAUACGGUAGAAAUUCCGUAACCACCGAACAUUUAAGCUAGAGGGACGCUUUCUUUAAGGUUAUCCCGGGCGAUGGUUGCCCCGGGCGUAAGGGACCGAAAUAUAGUAGGGAAGUAACUGGCGAGAGAGACGAGAAAAGCUCUAGUGUAUACUAAGGUGCCCGUACCGCAAACCGACACAGGUAGAUGGGAUGAGUAUUCUAAGGCCAACGGGAGAAGGGUUGUUAAGGAACUCGGCAAAUUGGCCCCGUAACUUCGGGAUAAGGGGCGCCUGCGAGAGCAGGCCGCAGUGAAAAGGCCCAAGCGACUGUUUAGCAAAAACACAGCUCUCUGCUAAAUCGAAAGAUGACGUAUAGGGGGUGACGCCUGCCCGGUGCUGGAAGGUUAAGGGGAGUGCUUAGCGCAAGCGAAGGUGCGAACUUAAGCCCCAGUAAACGGCGGCCGUAACUAUAACGGUCCUAAGGUAGCGAAAUUCCUUGUCAGGUAAGUUCUGACCCGCACGAAUGGCGUAACGAUUUGGGCACUGUCUCAACAGCCCGCCCGGCGAAAUUGUAGUACCGGUGAAGAUGCCGGUUUCCCGCAACUAGACGGAAAGACCCCAUGGAGCUUCACUGUAGCUUGAUAUUGGAUCUCGGUAUUCCAUGUACAGGAUAGGUGGGAGGCUAGGAAGUAAGCGCGCCAGCGUUUAUGGAGCCAACCUUGGGAUACCACUCUUGGGAUAUUGGGAUUCUAACCUGCGACCAUGAAUCUGGUCGGGGGACACUGUCAGGUGGGCAGUUUGACUGGGGCGGUCGCCUCCAAAAGAGUAACGGAGGCGCUCAAAGGUUCGUUCAGCACGGAUGGAAAUCGUGCACUGAGUGUAAACGCAUAAACGAGCCUAACUGCGAGAAUGACGGUUCGAGCAGUAACGAAAGUUGGAGUUAGUGAUCCGGCGGUAUGUGAAUGGAAAUGCCGUCGCUCAACGGAUAAAAGCUACCCUGGGGAUAACAGGCUGAUCUCCCCCAAGAGUCCACAUCGACGGGGAGGUUUGGCACCUCGAUGUCGGCUCAUCGCAUCCUGGGGCUGAAUUCGGUCCCAAGGGUUUGGCUGUUCGCCAAUUAAAGCGGUACGCGAGCUGGGUUCAGAACGUCGUGAGACAGUUCGGUCCCUAUCUGUUGCGGGCGCAGGAAUAUUGAGAGGAGCUGUCCUUAGUACGAGAGGACCGGGAUGGACGUACCGCUGGUGCACCAGUUGUUCUGCCAAGGGCAUAGCUGGGUAGCUAAGUACGGACGAGAUAAACGCUGAAGGCAUCUAAGCGUGAAACUCCCCUCGAGAUAAGUGUUCCCAUCCUUCGGGAGUAAGGCCCCUUGUAGACUACAAGGUUGAUAGGUCAGGAGUGGAAGUGCAGUAAUGUAUGGAGCGGACUGAUACUAAUAGGCCGAGGGCUUGACCU
rnacentral:rRNA from 1 species